rnacentral:rRNA from 1 species
AUUGAACGCUGGCGGCAGGCCUAACACAUGCAAGUCGAACGAGUGGCGGACGGGUGAGUAAUGUCUGGGAAACUGCCCGAUGGAGGGGGAUAACUACUGGAAACGGUAGCUAAUACCGCAUACCAUCGGAUGUGCCCAGAUGGGAAGAGCUUGUAGGUGAAGUAACGGCUAACCUAGGCGACGGUCCCUAGCUGGUCUGAGAGGAUGACCAGCAACACUGGAACUAGGACACGGUACAGCGUCCUACGGGAGGCAGCAGUGGGGAAUAUUGCACAAUGUGCGCAAGCCUGAUGCAGCCAUGCCGCGUGUAUGAAGAAGGCCUUCGGGUUGUAAAGUACUUUCAGCGGGGAGGCGUUACCCGCAGAAGAAGCACCGGCUAACUCCGUGCCAGCAGCCGCGGUAAUUC